rnacentral:lncRNA from 1 species
AAGACACAGUGAAUGCUCAGGCAUACGCUCAGGGUCAGCUCCCAGACCAAGACCCCAGGGGGGACCCGGAGGAUGCAACUCAGCUUCAGCGUUUGCAGAGGUACCAAAAGGUCGCUUUUGCAGGGGAUAAGAGCUAAUAAAAAGAAAGCAAUUAAUAUAAGGAAGAUUUCAGAAGUGCUUCAGGGAGCUGACAAGAGCCUAAGUCACUUUUAUCAGAGACUUUGUGAAGCAUCCUGGUUUUACACCCCAUUUGACCCUGAGGCUGCUGAAAAUCAGCACAUGGUAAACACAGCAUUUGUAGGGCAAGCCCAGGGUGACAUCAAGCGGAAACUUCAGGCAUGAAUGCCACCCAGCUUAUAAAAGUGGCCACCAAGGUGUAUGUUAACCGUGACCAGGGAACAAAUGGGAAAGAGCGAAAGCAACAAGCACGGCACCAGGCAGCCAGGCACGCUAAGGGUUAAGUCCCUUUCCCCAGCCCAGCUCUAUCUGGAAAAAGAGGGAGGCAGGGACCCGCAUGGGAGCAGAGCAAAGGCGAAGGAAGGGAGAAAGUAAGAGUAAGUGUGAAAAAGGAAAGAAGAAAGUAAAAAGGAAAAUUGGAAAGAAACAGAAAAGACCGAUGGCAGUGCGUGCGUGGGGGCAGAGCCCGUGUGCCUGGCCCUGCCAGCCGUAGGAGCAGAACUCAGGAAGGAAAAAGAAAGCAGAGCAAAGACUUAAGAAAAAUGCGGAUCUGUUGGCAGCAGUCUUUAUAGAAAAAGAGAUUAGCAAUGUGAGAGGACGUGGACAAGGAUGUGGACAUGGAAGGGGUCAAGUUAGGCAGGGAUUUGAGAGCCCGACAAGGCUAGAAAGAGAUCAAUGUGUGAGACGGAAAAAGAAAGGACCCUGGAAGGAUAAAUGUCCAGAAGGUAAUAAAGAGAGUGGUAAAGCUGUGGUAUAAAGAAGUCAUCGGCCAAGGGCUGCCACACCUUAGAAAGACCAGAUGCUCAUCUGCUCGGGCUGGCAGGAGCUGAAGGAUGUGAGGACUAGGACAAACCGGGCUCCUUUUCAUCAGGUCUCCAGGAGCCCAUGGUCACAUUAGAAGUUGAAGGCAGCAGGAUUCUGUGUAUCUGGAUUCCAAGUUUCUCACUGAUGGCUACGCCACUAUAUAAAGUUACAAAGGUGGGGAGAACAAGAAUCCCUUCUCUGGGAAACUGAACAGGAGAAGGAGCCAUGCCUUCAUUCCUUGUGAGACUUGCUUAUAAACUUUACCGAAAUGCCUCACGCCAGAGGCUAUUGGUAUAUGCUAGUGUUUAUUUGCACCUUUUUCAGGAUGGAUUGAGGCCUCCCCCACUAGGACAGAAAAAGCACGAGAAGUGACUAAAGUACUGUUAAGAGACAUUACCCUCAGGUUUGGACUGCCUCUAACUUUAAAGUCAGACAAUGGGUCGGCAUUUGUAGCUGAAAUAGUGCAAGAUUUAACAAAACUGUUGAAAAUAAAAUGGAAGCUACACACAGCCUUCGGCCGCAAAAUUCAGGAAAAGUGGAACGCAUGAACUGGACACUCAAGCAGCUACUGAAGAAAUAUUGCCAGGAACCUCAUCUGAGAUAGGAUCAGGUUUUGCCUGUGGUCCUCCUCUGAGUCAGGUGCACCCCCACCAAACAAACUGGGUAUUUGCCCUAUAAGAUUUUGUUCAGUUGGCCACCCCAAAACCAUAGGUCAAAUUAAAGGUGAUCUCCAGGAACUAGGGGAUUAACUUUAAGAAAACAAAUGCAGGCUUUAGAAAUAGCCAUGCGAAGUGUUCAUAAUUAGGUACAUGAAAAAAUGCCUAUAAACCUGACACCCAUUUAAACCUAGAGAUUCUGUUGUUUAAGUUAAAAAGUAGAACCCAACUUCCUAAGACCCAUGUGGGAUGGGCCCCAUACGGUAAUCUUGUUCACUCCUACUGCUGUUAAAGUUGCAGGUGUUAUGCCUUGGAUCCACCACAGUUGGCUGAAACUGGCAGCUCAGGUACAAGUAAACCAGUCAGCAGAACCCAGACCAUUUGACCCGGCUGAUCCUGCGACAAGACCGAGUUGCUGCUGAGGACGACAGCCCUGCUCUGCUCACUCCGGAGGCUGACCAGUCUAUGCAUGGCUGAAGCUUGAGGAAACAACAAUCCUUGCUCUAGUCACACACCAGAAGCUGACUAGUCUAUGCAGGACUGAAGCUUGAUUCGUCAAGCAAGUAAAUGUAGCUAGAAAUCUUAGGACUAGAAGCUUUCCUGUAAUACUGUUUUACUAUUGUUUUGUUGCUGUGCUCAACCUCCUUCCCCAGUAAGUCUUGUUGCUGCUCGCUCUUUGGGUGUACACUGCCUGUAUGAGCUGUGACCCUCAUUUGUGAAGGUCUGCAGUUUCAUUCCUGAAACCAGCAAGACCAUGAAUUCUCUGGGAGGAGUGAAUAGCUCCAGAUGCCCUGCCUUAAGAGCCGUAACAUUCACCGCGAAGGUUUGCAGCUUACCUCCUGAGCCAGCGAGACCACGAACCCCACCAGAAGGAAGAAACUGAACACAUCCAAGUGUCAGAAGGAACAAACUCCAGAUAUGCAUCCUUUAAGAACUCUAACCCUCACUACAAGGGUCAGCGGCUUUGUUCUUGAAGUCAGUGAGACCAUAAAACCCACCAAUUGUAGACACAAGCACCCACAGAAGGGUGUCCUCACUGUACACAUACUACUUCGUCUGGGAACAGUAUAACCAGAACGCUGUUGUACCAUAAUUAUUGGUGUACAGGGACUUGCUUAGGAACUUGUGUUUAUAAUCAGACCACGUACUCAAUUUGUGACCCAGGAAAUAACCAACCUUAUGAUCUUAAAGUUUUCUUUUUAUUAUAAGUUCUAGAGUACAUGUGCACAAUGUGCAGGUUUGUCACACAGGUAUAUAUAUAUAUGUGCCAUGUUGGUGUGCUGUACCCAUUAACUCGUCAUUGACAUUAGGUAUUUCCCUUAAUACUAUCCCUCCCCCCUGCCCCCCACCCCACGACAGGCCCUGGUCAGUGAUGUUCCCUGCUCUGUCCCAAGUUUUCCCAUUGAAUUCCCACCUAUGAGUGAGAACAUGCAGUGUUUAUCUGUCCUUGAAAUAGUUUGCUCAGAAUGAUGGUUUCCAGCUUCAUCCAUGUUGUUAGAAAGGAGAUGGACUCAUCCUUUUUCAUGGCUGCAUAGUAUUCCAUGGUGUAUAUAUGCCACAUUUUGUUAAUCCAGUGUAUCAUUGAUGGACAUUUGGGUUGGUUCCAAGUCUUUGCUAUUACGAGUAGUGCAGCAAUAAACAUAUGUGUGCAUGUGUCU